UAGUGAGUUUGAUCCUGGCUCAGGAUGAACGCUAGCGGCAGGCCUAAUACAUGCAAGUCGAACGGUGAGCAGCAAUGCUCAUAGUGGCGCACGGGUGCGUAACGCGUAGGCAAUCUGCCUAUCUCUGGGGGAUAGCCCGCCGAAAGGGGGAUUAAUACCGCAUGAGACCAUGGCCCGGCAUCGGGUAGUGGUUAAAGAAUUUCGGAGAUAGAUGAGCCUGCGUGCCAUUAGCUGGUUGGUGAGGUAACGGCUCACCAAGGCGACGAUGGCUAGGGGAGCUGAGAGGCCGAUCCCCGACACUGGCACUGAGAUACGGGGCCAGACUCCGUACGGGAGGCAGCGAGUUGGGGGAACUUUUCC
rnacentral:rRNA from 1 species